GAGCCUGCGGCGGAUUAGCUAGUUGGCAGGGUAACGGCCUACCAAGGCGACGAUCCGUAGCCGGCCUGAGAGGGCGGUCGGCCACACUGACACUGACAUACGGGUCAGACUCCUACGGGAGGCAGCAGUCGGGAAUUUUGGGCAAUGGGCGAAAGCCUGACCCAGCAACGCCGCGUGAAGGAUGAAAUCCCUCGGGAUGUAAACUUCGCAAGAACGGGAAGAAUAAGUUUGUGCUAACACCACAAGCGAUGACGGUACUGUUUGUAAGCUCCGGCUAACUCCGUGCCAGCAGCCGCGGUAAUACGGGGGGAGCAAGCGUUGUUCGGAUUUACUGGGCGUAAAGGGCGCGUAGGCGGCCUCCGCAAGUCAGUUGUGAAAUCUCCGAGCUUACUCGGAAAGGUCAACUGAUACUGCGGGGCUAGAAGUGCGGAAGGGGCAACUGGAAUUCUUGGUGUAGCGGUGAAAUGCGUAGAUAUCAAGAGGAACACCUGCGGCGAAGGCGGGUUGCUGGGCCGACACUGACGCUGAGGCGCGAAAGCUAGGGGAGCGAACGGGAUUAGAUACCCCGGUAGUCCUAGCCUUAAACGAUGAAUGCUUGGUGUCUGGGGUUAUAUAGUCCCCGGGUGCCGUCGCUAACGCUUUAAGCAUUCCGCCUGGGGAGUACGGUCGCAAGACUGAAACUCAAAGGAAUUGACGGGGACCCGCACAAGCGGUGGAGCAUGUGGUUUAAUUCGACGCAACGCGAAGAACCUUACCUGGGCUAGACUGCCUCUGACAGCCCCAGAGAUG
rnacentral:rRNA from 1 species